UCAAGAAACCCUCCCAGAUUUUAGCUUUAUCCAUUAGAUACAAAUUACCGAACGUAAAAGUGCCAGAAUUUUCUUCAUUAAAUAAAUAAAAGUAUUAAUAAUAAUAAAAGAAAUGAAUUCAAUAAGUCUGCAUCAGCAUCUCUGCACAAUAAUGCGCCUUUCCGUUCCUCCUUCUCAUCUAAGGCGCAAGGUACGGGCGCGCAGAGACACUAUACCCCUGGGGGAGUAGCGAGCAGAGACUGCUUGAAUGACGUCUUUGUCAUUAAUCAGUUAGUACCAAAUGGCCGAGUGCUCACACCAUCGGUGUAUAUACCUCUGAAUGUCUGUGGACGACCGAUUCCGCUGCGAUCCGCCGGUUACCAUGCCAACAGCGCUACACCACCGCUGCCGCAUAGCAUGAUUACCCGGUAUUACUACGAACGGAAUACCAUAGUAUAUUCCAGUCAGCGAACCCCCCUUACCUCAUCCAAUCAUCGAAAGCAAAGAUGUUUACAAUAAACAAUUGUUUACUUCGCCCGUGCUACUUUUAGCGAAAACCCCGUGCACACCGAAUCGUGUGUGUGUGUAUGUGUGUGCGUGUGACGAGACGAAGUAGAGAGGGAGAAAGAGGGAACGCCAUGUUGUAUAAAAUUGUUUGAGUUAGUCUGAUGUGACGAGAGGGCCGAAGUCAGCUGAUACGGAAGUAAACAAUUUCGGAUUUUCGAUUUUCCAUCGGGUGUGAAAAUGUAUUGGAAUCGUAACAUUUAGAUCUUUUACAAAAAAGGAUUAUGUGUUUUUUAAAAUCGCCGAUCAAUUCGCAAGAAUAUCGCCAACUCGAUCGGAAGACUCUUGUGUAAUUAGUCCCCAGUGCAUAAUCGAGCUGUGGCGGUAGCAGCUCGAGUUCGGAGAGAAAAACAAGCGGAGACACAAAACGUCGCGAUUGUUACCUGACCUUCGCUCAGCUUUCCUUGGCUUUUUUUCUCAAAUCAUCAACGCUGGGCUAUCAUACAGUCUUCAGAGAAGAAAUAGGAUAUUUCAGAAGCAUACUGUCUGUCUAUGGGAAGAACAGCUUCUACCACAGUGUCUGGCGGGCGGUGUCACUAUGGAAUGCAGUUUGGAGAUUGCAACUGUACCUGUUUCUUACCCGAGGGGACAAUCUCGCUACGAUUCAGCGUAUGACAAGCAACAGGAGAGUUGAGGUUGUGGAGAGAGAUUGUUUCAAGAGAGCUUAGACAAAUUCCUCACUUAGUGUGUACGGGAGUUUGAAAUUAUCCUCUGCAUGUUCAACGAGCUGACUUUUCCAAGAUAGAAGACCGUAUGUCCACUGGGAAUACUGGAGGUGAAUUGUCCUACUUGGAGUAUUUUGUCGUGCUAGGAGAUUUAGCAUGGACUAAUCUUUCCGAGCACAGUACAUUUGUAACCCUGUAGAAGUAUUAUUAAGUGUUAUCUACAUACCAGAUUGAUGUAAUCCUAACAUCUUGCAUUUAUAUUUUUAUUAAAAUUCUUGCUAUUGUUUUAUAA